rnacentral:rRNA from 1 species
UACGGGGGGGGGCAAGCGUUGUUCGGAAUUACUGGGCGUAAAGGGCUCGUAGGUGGCCAACUAAGUCAGACGUGAAAUCCCUCGGCUUAACCGGGGAACUGCGUCUGAUACUGGAUGGCUUGAGGUUGGGAGAGGGAUGCGGAAUUCCAGGUGUAGCGGUGAAAUGCGUAGAUAUCUGGAGGAACACCGGUGGCGAAGGCGGCAUCCUGGACCAAUUCUGACACUGAGGAGCGAAAGCCAGGGGAGCAAACGGG